rnacentral:ribozyme from 1 species
CUUCUGAAAUCAAGGUAAAAAUAAUAAAGAAAAAAAAAAAAAGGAAAAAAUGAUGUCAUUUUUCUCUCCAUCUAUAAAGUGACACCUUUCUUUUUCUGUUGUUUUCCAUUCAUUUUUCCCCUUUUUUUCUGUUGAAUUUUUUCUGUUCUUUUAUUGUAAA